rnacentral:siRNA from 1 species
UCAGGUGAUCUCCUUUCUUGAA